rnacentral:rRNA from 1 species
GAUGAACGCUGGCGGCGUGCCUAAUACAUGCAAGUCGAGCGAACAGACGAGGAGCUUGCUCCUCUGACGUUAGCGGCGGACGGGUGAGUAACACGUGGAUAACCUACCUAUAAGACUGGGAUAACUUCGGGAAACCGGAGCUAAUACCGGAUAAUAUAUUGAACCGCAUGGUUCAAUAGUGAAAGACGGUUUUGCUGUCACUUAUAGAUGGAUCCGCGCCGCAUUAGCUAGUUGGUAAGGUAACGGCUUACCAAGGCGACGAUGCGUAGCCGACCUGAGAGGGUGAUCGGCCAAACUGGAACUGAGACACGGUCCAGACUCCUACGGGAGGCAGCAGUAGGGAAUCUUCCGAAAUGGGCGAAAGCCUGACGGAGCAACGCCGCGGGAGUGAUGAAGGUCUUCGGAUCGUAAAACUCUGUUAUUAGGGAAGAACAAAUGUGUAAGUAACUAUGCACGUCUUGACGGUACCUAAUCAGAAAGCCACGGCUAACUAC